ensembl:snRNA U6 U6 spliceosomal RNA
GUGUUCACUUCGGCAGCACAUAUACUAAAGUUGGAACAAUACAGAGAUUAGCAUAGCUCCUUCGCAAGGAUGACAUGCAAAUUCAUGGAGCAUUCUAUAUUUUU